GUCCAUAUGAUGCUGAAACAUUGGUUCUCAUAUAAUCACUGAAGUUAAACAAUAUUCAGCCUGGUCAGUACCUAGAUGGGUGACUGCUUGGAAAUUCCAGGUGUUGUAAG